rnacentral:rRNA from 1 species
AUUGAACGCUGCGGCAGGCUUAACACAUGCAAGUCGAGCGAGCGGCGGACGGGUGAGUAAUGCUUAGGAAUCUGCCUAUUAGUGGGGGACAACAUCUCGAAAGGGAUGCUAAUACCGCAUACUAACAGAUGAGCCUAAGUCGGAUUAGCUAGUUGGUGGGGUAAAGGCCUACCAAGGCGACGAUCUGUAGCGGGUCUGAGAGGAAGAUCCGCGAAACUGGGACCGGGACACGGCCCAGACUCCUACGGGAGUCAGAAGUGGGGAAUAUUGGACAAUGGGGGGAAGCCGGAUCCAGACAGGCCGCGUGUGUGAGGAAGGCCUUAUGGUGGUAAAGCACGUUAAGCGAGGAGGCGGUACUCGCAGAAUAAGCACCGGCGAACUCAGUGCCAGCAGCCGCGGUAAUUC